CUUCAGCUGGUUGAAAUCUGAGACAAAAAAAAAAAUAGGUAUCUGUGUAUGGCAAUCAAGAUGUAUUAGCUCAUGACCUAAUGUACGUGUGCAAGACAGAAGCACAUGAACGCACACCAACGAAGUCUUGCAGGUGUUCACGUGGUUUUGCGCAUGUUCCAGGUGAAAUUUCAGUUGCACUACUGACACUCUAAAAAGUCGGGUAAAUAAUACUUUCCUGUGGAUAUUUUGUUUCAAAUGUUGCCCAGCUGAAAUACCAACCGGUAGGGUAGAGUACAUUCAAAUGAAAUGUUAUUCAACAUUCUGGCAGAGUUUUGUUUUUACUAUAACAAUCAUUUGUAUCAUAGUCUGUCUGAUUAGGCAACCUCCCCCUAUCUGUCAGUCAGUUGCAGACGCGCUGCCUCCCCCUCAUGUUGCCGACUGACUGGAAAUAGAAACAUAAAUAUACACACCGCUAACAACCUAACGCAGCCGGUCACUGAGGGGCAUGAGAGCCUUGUCGGAGGCCAGCGCUGUUGCUUGCCGGACCCAGUGCUGGUGACGGGGACAUGGGCCUCUUCCUCAGGGCUUCCAGCACGACCCAGCUCCACACAAGCCAGAGCCUCAGCCACCAACUGGUCCAGCACCACCCAGACACCAACGGCAGCAGCACGCAGAGGGACCCCGCCUCAGUGGGUCUCGCCCUUCUCUUUGGCGCUACCACUGACCUGCAGGCCAAGCACCACAGCCGGAAGAUCGGGAUCCCUGGAGGCCUCAGUGCUGCUAGCUACAGCGUCUACAGGCCCGCAUAUGGGAGUGUCACCACCACCGUGUCUUUCUCCCUGCGAGGCAGGCAGCCUGGCAGGCAGAGCAGUCACAGCUCGCUGCACCAUCUGGCCAUGCUGACGUCCG
rnacentral:lncRNA from 8 species